GGAUUAGAACCAUUCUGCAUUUGGUUAAUUUUACCAAAAAUAUCAAAAUGCACCUUGAUUUUGCAGAAAGUACACUAUAUGACCAUGUAAUUAUUGUCUUCAGUCACAUGUGAACUACAGGCGCACUGACGUGUUCCCACAAUAGCUAGGUUCUCUAUUUGUGUGCCCAAAACCUAAAGAACUCAGGCACUGCUGUUACCAGCUGCAUGGCUCUUUCCAUUCCACCAUGUUCUAACUGUGUAAGGUCUAUAAAUAGAAUAGUAAUGCUAAGUGCAUCUUACCUCAGGUGCCAUGAGGCUGGAGUUCCCCCCUUUGCUCACCCAGCUGCUGUUGUAGGGCAGCUUUAGGCCCAAACCCUCCUCUGCCAGGCAGCAGCCAAAGUCAGAGAUGACCAGCCUGGGGCAGCCAUCUUAAGAAAAAAACAGAGGAAACAUAGACAAGCAUAAAUUAAGUACAGUUCUGUUUAAAAAUAUAGGUAACAUUUAUACCAGUAGUACAACACAAUCGUAUCUUUAUUUAGGAUAAGCAUGUGGCGCACUGACUGAAGUCUAAUUCCAGGAGGAUGUUGUCUGAUUUGAGGUCUCUGUGUGCGAUGCCCUGUCUGCACAGGUGAUCCACACCUUCUAGCAGCUGCAGCAACAUCAUCGUGGCAUGUCUGUGACCUGGCACACAAACAUCCAGAUCAUCAGGUCCAAAUGAGACUGGAAGGAGCUCCUCCACAGUCAUCUUCUUAAAAGAGCCAUCUGGUUUUGUCAAAUAAACAUCCCACUGCAGGCCAAACUGCAACACAAUAAUAAUCAUUACUGAAGAAAAGGACACAGUACAAGAGCUGACAUUUAAGUCAUGGUUUACUACAGGUACUCUACACAAUAGGACAAGAAAAUAAGCCAUUAUGGAGAGCUUCAAAGAUGCUGUGGAAAGCCAAACAAUGCCCCCAAACAGUUCACAUUGGUAAACUAUUUUUUCUAAAUGAAUAGGUUCAGUAAAUGCUUUUCAUAAUAUAUAAAGGUUUUACCACAACAGCUGUAAACUGUGAAUGGUCUUGAUCUUUUAUUCCUUACUCAUGGUCUUGUUUUGAACAUUAUUGGUGUGGGUCCUGGUCUUGACUUUAUUACAGUCUUUACAACAACACUGGUUAAUUUACCACUGGUUAACCAUUCAUGAAGUGAAAAGAAGGGUUUUUAAUUAACUGACCUCUCUCAUGAACUGUCUGCAGCCACCACAUGGUGAGAUAAAGUUGUCCACCAUGUCACUGUAACAAAAAGAUUUUAAUUAAACAGACAAUGUAAAAUGAACAUGUGAUGUUCAAACAGGUUCAGA